UGGGGAAUAUUGGACAAUGGGGGCAACCCUGAUCCAGCCAUGCCGCGUGAGUGAUGACGGCCUUAGGGUUGUAAAGCUCUUUUCUCCGGGACGAUAAUGACGGUACCGGAGGAAUAAGCCCCGGCUAACUUCGUGCCAGCAGCCGCGGUAAUACGAAGGGGGCUAGCGUUGCUCGGAAUCACUGGGCGUAAAGGGCGCGUAGGCGGCUGAUUUAGUCGAGGGUGAAAGCCUGUGGCUCAACCACAGAAUUGCCUUCGAUACUGGUUGGCUUGAGACCGGAAGAGGACAGCGGAACUGCGAGUGUAGAGGUGAAAUUCGUAGAUAUUCGCAAGAACACCAGUGGCGAAGGCGGCUGUCUGGUCCGGUUCUGACGCUGAGGCGCGAAAGCGUGGGGAGCAAACAGGAUUAGAUACCCUGGUA
rnacentral:rRNA from 1 species